GGCAAUAUCCUAUCCUCUAUAAGUCCAGCCAGAGUCUUAGAGUCCACAGCAAUGCCUCAUGCAAGUCCACAUUCAAGGAUCUGCACCAGGAAGGCCCAAAGGCCAGGGGUGGAAGUUAGAAAACCUGAGCCAACUUGUGCCACCAAGCUGAGGGAUCUACACUGGAGCCAGGAAGCAAUGCUCAAGUUGAAGAUCAGAAGACACCAGCCCUUCUCAGUGAUGGCGAGGCCCAGAGCUCCUCAGGCAAGGAGAACAGCCAAGUUUGCCUCACAAAAACCAGCCAUGGCAAGCUCCUCCUAGAAAAUCAACAGCCAAGAAUAUUCUCCUCCAGUUGUCUUUUUAUGCUGUUGGCAACAAUCCUCAGGAAAUUAAACUGCAGUUUCCCAUGAUGGCAGCUGGCUCAAUACAGAAGUCCCUCCUUAUAUGAGGACACAUUCCAAGCCCUCAGUGGAUGCCUGAAACCUCAGAGCUGGAGAAUGAACCCAGGGCCUUAUGCUUGCU